rnacentral:lncRNA from 1 species
ACUGCUGUUCACUUAGUAACUUCCUUUAUCAACUUUUUCACUUUCUCCUGCUUUAGCAUAGCUAUUAAAAAGAGAAAUAUUCCUUCAGAAUCUACCUACAGUCAGCCGGGGAAGUCUACACGAAGGAAAUGUUGCCGUGGGACCCUCCCUUGCUCUCCCAGUCUGAGUGACCUCAUUCAGAGAUUUCGCGUUUGGAAAAGAGCCUGCCUCAGCUCCUGCCUCUUCCCCCUGGGAACAUCUGAGGAAAUCUCUCCUCCCCAGUCACCUGCCAGAAGCAGCAGCACCACUCAUGAAAACAGUGGGCUGCUCUGCAGGUCAGCGCCCUUUCCUGUGAUAGGGAUGGAUUGAUCUAAUGCUGAGAAAACUUUGUAGCCACUGAAAGCAUUUGGAUUAUUGGCUGGGCGUCAGAUCAACAGCAUGCAUAAACCUCAGCCAAAAAGACAAUGGCUUCUAGGGCCUUUUUCAGAAUUUGGUACAUCAAAGAUAAAUUCUAGUUGAAAGCAUGAGUCCCAAACACCUUCCAGUGCUGCUGUCUUCUUUGCUUAGUCAACUUAUCAAAAGGGCUAUCUGAAUUGAGAAUAUGGAUUUUUAAGGGGUACAGAUGCUCAAAGGCCUUGCUGGACCUAUGCAAAGACAGGAUGUUAUAGGAAAGGAAAACACCUCAAGAAGACAGUUAUUGGAUGUCAAGAGACAGAAGCAGUGGCCUUGAAGCAUUCCACCUAUAACCCUAGUAAACAACUCAUAGUUUAUAAGAAAUCAACCAGCAUGUUGCAUUCAUACCACUGGAACUAGCCACAGUGAAUU